CUCUUACUCUCACCCUGUCUGGCUCCCAGACACACUCACUGCCGUCUGCACGGAGGAAGGAGAAACAGACCCAUGAGAGAGAGAGAGAGACGAAGAGUUGGAGAGACAGACACAGAAAGGAGAGAGAGAGAGAGAGGAAGACAACUGUGAAGUUCAACUCAAAGUGUGGCACUCUGGAGAGUAUGAGGAAAAAGGACUGAGACAGAAAAAGGAGUAAAAAAUCUGUUUUCUCAGAGAGGCACUUCACACUCUCUCCACAGCCUUUCCUGUAACCUGUUGAUCGACACACACACACACACACACACACACACACACACACACACACACACACACACACACACACACACACACACACACACACUCACUCACAGAGAAUGUAAAGUGCGCCUGCUGUUCAGACGUGCUGUAAUAUUGGCACUGGAUUAUUGUCCUGAUCUGAUCUGAGGUCCGCCGCUGUGGACCGGCUCCAUUACAAAGGUCAGACGUAAAUAGUUCCCUCUGAAUUGGAUGGUUGAAUUCUGUCCGCUUGUCUGUGUGUGUGUAUGUUUGAUUUUUGGGGAUCAUAUCUCCACCCGCCUGCUGCAUCAUUUGUUUGCCUCUACCUGUUUGUCUUGUCUUCCUUUGAAGUGUCUGCGUACAGUCAAACGUCAUCCUUUCAUGUGUGUCUUCAUGUCUGUCUACACGUCUAUCAGUCUGCCUGUUGUUGUUGCUGCACACACCGGGGGAACAGAGGUCAUAAAAAAGUUACAGAAAAGAAGCCGUAAUAGUAGUGGUGAAGCGAGGCCGGAGCCGCUCAAACAUUCCUCUCAUUGUUCAGAGGCCCUGUAAGUCUGCGAGCUCCCAAACCUCCAUGAAAGGAAAGGGAAUCCAGCAGGCUACUGUAGCUAAACCCAGAUUCUGCUGCAGCUCAGGACCAGCUGUGUGUGUGUCGUCCUGUCCUGGUUCCCCUUUGGGAGUGUCGGGCACAGUGGAAACAGAGCUGACGUAGGCUAAAGCGGAGAGAAAGACAAGAUAAGAGGGAAUUAAUUUAGCCCAAAUAAGGAGGAGGGUUUGUUGCUCCGCUUAACCGACUCUGACUUUAGAUAACCUCUACACCAGAAGACAUGAGGGAGAGGAGGGAGGUGUUUUUUUAUUCAGUGAGGAAUCCUAAGUUUUCCAGGGAGGGACGGAUGGAUGAAUGAUGGAAGAGGGGGUUGAAUAAAAAGGAGGGAGAAAGACUCCGGCGUUGGGUUUUGGGGUGGGUGUGUGCACGGCAGCCAUCUGUAUGGAAUGGGCCCGGGCUCAGGAAACCGUGGCGUAGUGGAAUAAAAAGUGUGUAUGUGUGCGUCCAUUUGUGCAUGUGUGGGUUAUGAGGCAGCAGGGCGGCUGUACACUAAGUACAGGGCUGGUGGCGGUGAGGGUGUUUGGCAGAGACUCAGCCUGAGGAUAGGGUUACACGCACUGGGGCUGCAGGGAGCGGGCCCGCGGCCUUCUGGGCUGGGCUCUUCACCGCUCGCAGUCCGAUGAAACUUUUCUCUUUUUUUUUUGUUUUCUAAAGAGGACUUGGAAACACUUUUUUUAAAUUCUCAGUCUAAUGUCGUUCCAUUGAUUCCAGGCUAACCCAAUGAGUAUUCCCCCUUUGAUUCAGAGAAAAAAAAAAAAAAAAAACGGCGACAGAGGAGGCCCAUAGUAGAGCGCAAGUCCUUGUUUGAAUGUCACUGAAUGUCACGGCCCUCUGCGAUAAUCACACGCUCGCACGAAACAUGAAACAAAUACAUAUCUUACUCACAGGCUCACACAUACCCAGACCCACACGCUGUCUGCGAGCCGUGGAGGCCGGGUGUGGUGGGCUACGUUAGGUGUGUGGGUUUGUCUUUUUUUUUUACAUUUUUACAUCCGUUCUCCAGAUUCCAGAGGCAAGGUUAGGUAGUUCUGCUGCUUCGCUGUUGAGGUUUUUAACUUAUAUGAUCACAGACUGGAUGCACUCACAUGACCUGUUUUUUGCAUUUCCUGCAGUGUCAGACGUCUUAACUCGCCACGCUCAUUUCUGCACCAGUUGGGACUGAGGUGAUCUGCCGUGACUUUCCUGCAUUUACUCUUUUCUCUCUCGUGAGACAGUCUGCACUUAGAGGAUUAAGCGUGUUUGAGAGGCAUACUGUGUACAGCCGCAAUUAUGGAAAGCACAUUUUUCAUAUUUGCACUUCCAGAAGGGAAAUCAGACGUUUUUGUGCUCUAGUGUUUCCAACUAUUAGACUGGCAAUGGAAAGAUGCAAAAACUUUACAUCACUUAUAUAAAUCAUUAUUUUUUUAAUAUAUCCAAUGGCAGCAUGCAGCUAUAGCCUGCAGGCGUCCCCGCUCCCUGUUUGCUGUGUGAAGCGUUCACAGCCUGCAGGUGUGAAUGAUGUCACACUGCGAUGUAUUUGCACUCUUCCCGCUUUAUGAGACAGGGUGAGAACCCAGCUGAUGCACAUGCCACGUUUACCCGGCAGCCCGCCGACAUGAACGUGUUUGUUUAUUGAAAGUAGGCAUAUUAAACGCUGGGGGGGACAUAAGUCUCUGCCUUUAUGAGCACUUCGUGUGUGUGUGUGUGUGUGUGUGUGUGUGUGUGUGUGUGUGUGUGUGUGUGUGUGUGUGUGUGUGUGUGUGUGUGUGUGUGUGUGUGUGUGUGUGUGUGUUGCACACAGGGGGCAUAUGGAGGGAGAAGAUAUGUGUUAAAACAACAAGAGGUUGAGAUCCAGCUGUCUCAACAGAGGCUUUUCCACUUAACUGUGUGCCCUUGUGAAAACGUCAAUGUCAGUCCUGAACUCUGUCUAAAGGGGAGAAACAGUUUGAGAAAAAAACAGCCGGAGGCCACGUCUGCACUUGGACCUCCAUACGUCGUGUGCACAAUAUAAACUAAGUUUGCUCUCUUAAACCAUCAAAGCACCCUCAGCAGGGGCCACAAGCCGUGAAAACACUCGCUGAAAACGUUUUGAUUGGUGAUUGGUAACUGAGUGAUACUCAUUUUCCUUUUCUACGCCUCCGUCAGGAUGCAACACGUUGGCACAAUUAUGAGCUGCCGAUAAGUAGCAAGCCCACAUGUCACAACCUUAUGAUUAUUCCCCACCAUAAUAAACAUCCAAUUUGAGCAGAGCAUAGCAGCAGGAUAGCCUGGUGGCUCCACUGUAGGACUUAAAAAAAAUCUUGACAGGCCAAAAAGUGAGCCAUGUUGCGCUCCUCUCUGCGAGCGUUUGAGGUGAGGUGUUGGAUGGCGUGCGUCAACCAGAAUGCUGUCAUUACAGGGAGAGGGAAGGAAUGAGCUCAUAGACAUUAAUGGUUGCGGGUUCGACAGAAAGGGGGGACGCGAAGGGGAAGGAGAGAAACCGAUGGAAAAGAUGAAAAGGCAGAGAAAAUAACACACAGAGACGAGCCACUGGCAGAUGAAAGGACGGCGGGAUGAUGAGAGUUUUAGGUUGAUGGAGGAGAGGAGUUAAAGAGGAGUUAGCACGGCAUCUUUGAUGAGCGCUGGAGCCUUAAAACGACCUGUUUUAUUCAGAUAGCACGCAUUAUCAGGACCGUUUAGACUGAACUGCAAAUCAAAUCUAACACUGAAAGUGCAAAGUGUUAAAUGUAUUUAUAUAUUUGAGUUUUCAGUGAAGCGAGAGACAAAAAGUACCGCUGAUAGCCUGGAAUUAAAAUCCCACUAAUCCUGUCUAGAGCCAGAAAAAUGCUUCUCAUGUCGUGAUGUCGUGUAAAGAGAGAUAAUUUCUAAGAAUACAGAGAGAGCUAACAGGAAAGCACAAAAAUCACGCCGUGUUUGAAGCGGUUAAAAUGUGGUAUUAUUGGUUAAUUGGACCUCAAACCAAAAGAUCGUCAGCCUGUUAGACAUUAAAAAAACGCGUCUGCACAUGAAACACAAUUUUCUACAGAAGCCUCAAGUGGACAUGCAUCAGUACAUUUAAGUUAACUGAGUUUUCCCAUGAUAACGAGUACAUGUCAGUUGUUUUCUCAAAAUGUCAACUAUUAAACAUCGCUGGUUUUCCCAAAGAUAACGAUUGAAUUUCAGACCUUUUCUCAACAUCUUGAGAGGUCGUUUUCCCCAGGAAAGCUGCGAUGUUAUCCAGAGAUAACAAGAAUAAUAAGUGGAGAUCUGGAGAAAACAACCAAAUUUGACAUGUUAUCACUGGAAAACAGAGUUAAGUAAAAAUGUAUUGAGUUUGUCUGCUUAGGGCUUCCAUAGUUUUAAAUCUGUCUUAGGUUUGCUGCUGUUGCACUAGAAUAUAAGUUGCUUCUUUUUUGUUGUUAGAGCGAGAUCAGAAGUAGGUCUGUUUCUCUGUUGGGUAUGUCCGUCUACAAACUCUCAGACCUGACUGUAGCAGACAACAAUGAUACGGGGAGUUCACCGUGUCCCCGGCUGAGCGCUUCAGCAGGUUUUGGGAUGACAGAGCGCCGGCUGAGACUUAUUUAGAGUCAGGAGUUCCCCAAAAGUGUCCCACUGACUCAGAUCUCAUUAAGGCUGCUGAAAAAAAACAAAGAGACUGGAGGAGAACGGCAAAGUAGGAUUCAGUGUGGAUCUAGAGCUCAGGUUAAAUUAUUAAAAUAUCUCCUGUCCAGACAAGUCAAAUCACACAAACAGGAAUUCACCGUCAGAGGUUUAGCUCCGGAGGUGUGUGUGUGUGUGUGUGUGUGUGUGUGUUAUCAGAUUUCAUUUGAUGGACAGUAAUGAGAAGCAAUAACAAAUACAGUAUCUGUAUCUUUACACAAGAAGAAAAUUCCUGACAAAUUCUGUAGAGAUUACGCUGCUGUAAUUUAGCAGCAAAGAAAACAUGGCUCAGAGCUCUUUGGCCGCCGAACACACACUCAUGCACACACACACACAUGCACACACACUCUCUCUGAUAAAGGGGCAGAGGUAGAAGAGAGCGGGGCAAACGUCUUUAAAGGGAGUGCCACUUGACUGGCCACUUCCUCCUAACCUAAUUCUCCUUUCUGUCUUUGAAAAGCUAUUUUUAUAAGAGGCCACGGGAAGUCUGGGAGAAGCAGGCGCACACACACACACACACACACACACACACACACACACACACACACACACACACACACACACACACACACACACACACACGGGGCUGAGUGUGUGAUGCUUUCUCACAGAGGUACAGACUGAGGUGAUCACUCAACGACAGGACGGCACCACGCUGGAGAUUUGCUCAUUAUUUGGUUUGUCUGUCUUGUUGUCUCUGUCGGCCAGGGGAAUUCCUGGCGGAGUGAUUUUUUGAGACUACAGGACUGAAUCACAUUGCCAGGGAUUUCCAAUGGCUGACAUGAGGAAAGCGGCGUCCUCCUCGCUGACACACACACACACACACUCUCUCGUCUGUUAACUCACACACGGCCACACCCAGGUUUUUUUCUGAUUUGCAUAGCCGCACACAAACACACCCUGCUCUGUCACCAACAGAUACUGCUCCAACACCUGGCAGUGUGGCGGCAGGACUUAACCCACAUGUGAGCAGUGAGUGUUGGUCAUGUUCACAGUGGUUAAGUUCUGCCGCCACAGGGCUGCAGCCUGCAGGGCGGGGAGUGGGGGAGGAAAGGUCAGGGAGGGGCUGCACAGGAUCAAAACCCGACUAUCAACACCAACACCAAAUAUGAGACGAAUCCAACAGCAUCCACUGCAAAGAGCGUCCCAAUAAAAAGAGGUUUUAUAUCCUCCAAAGACAACAAACAUGAACGUCUGUAGACAUAAGGUGUGCCUCCAUCCACCUGUAGACUGACAUCAAUCAAUCCAUCCAAACACUUUGUAAAAUCCUUCUCAUUACGUUCUUCUGCUUCGUCUUUAGACUACAAUCAUCCGUGCUUUGAUCGUUCUUGGGGGGGGGGGGGGGGGGGGCAUGUGGAUAUUUUUCAGGCAUUUCUGUCAAAGUGUGUGAUCAUUUUUUCACGACUGCUUAAAUAAGUGUACAAAUAAUAAAGUUCAUUUUGCUCAACACUUAUCAAGAAAGGUCCGGUCUAACUUGUAGAUUAUGUAGUGAAGGUGGCACAACAUGUAUUUCACUUAAUAUCAAUCUGGGAACUUUGACAGACUAUAAUUUAAUAAAACGACUGCAAGAACGACGGCAAACACAGGAAGUGACAUCCACCCUUUUUACUUUUUUUUAUAUCUCAUGAUAAGACACCCAACAAGAAAAGCUUGCUUACCCCCAUCGGUAGAUUUAUUUCACUUAUUAUAAGAUAAAUGUAGGACGUAUUUUUUAUAUCUUGAAAUAAGAUUUCCAUUGAGACUUGUCUGGUGAAUGUGUCUGAUAUUCAGUGCUAUGAGAUAUUUUGGCAAGAAAUUAGACAAGUACUCUUUCUCAGGUUUGAGUUUUUGGAGUGUAAGCUCGUUAAAAAAGAAGUUGAUCAAACCUUGAUAACCACGUUAUGAAAAGGUUGAACAAGAUUCUUCACAAAACACGUAAAACCUAAAAAAUAAAAUAGACAUAAAUGAAUGAAAAGAACAAGAAGGAAAAUUGAAAAAAGAGGAAGGACUUCAAACUAAGGUUGACUAAAUUAAUCAAUAAAAAAUCACAAGUUUAGAUAUAAUUCUGGGGCCAUCAUGGACUUUAAAGAUUUAAUUUUAAAAUGAAUCCUAACUCAAAUGAGUGGUAAUAAAAAACUGCUGUACUUUUAUUUUUUAUUUUUGGAGUCAACCUAUCCUCCUCUGACGUUUUCCUGCUACAGGCUUUUAGGUUAGUCCAAUCAUUGGGAAUUAGAUGCAUGAAUAUAAUAGCGUCAGUGUCAUUUAGACUGGUAAUAAUCCUGAGGCGGUAGCAGCAUGACUGAAUGACUCGUGAAAAUAAUUUGAGAAAACUAUUAAAAGCACUUUAAAUGUAUGAAAGCUGUCGAAACGAGGCGACAAAAAAAAAAAAGAGUCUGCUUCUCAUUUGUUGAAUUCUCUGAUUUUAAGAUAUCCAACACUCAGAUGAAUCACUCCUGCGCUGACAGCAUACAUCGGAGGUCGAGCGCGUGUGCAGAUCUCUGAUGACUCCGUUUUGUGAUAUUAAAGUGUUAAAGGUGAUGCGUUUGUGGUCAGGAGGGCAGAAUGGGAGCAGGGCUCGUCGUCUGUGAGCUUCUGGUAAUAACUGGUAAUCAGUUGAAUGAGCUGGAAGAGUGCGGCCUCAGUGUGUCUGUUAAAUGUCAGCCGUCUCAUUAGUGCUGAAAGCUGCUGCUGCUCCUGUAGGGCGAGCAGUGUGUCGGCUCAUGUCGUCAUUUUUAACUCUGGCUGCUGGGUGUGGGGGGGGUCUCUCAGGGGCGACGUGUGUGUACAUGUUGUGUUUGCAUUUAUAAUUUUCUCACCUGUUGAUUUUUGCAUCAGCAUCCGUGUCUGUUUGUUUGACUUUGUCUGACUCUUCCAUCUGUAAAUGUAUAUUUGUGUGUGUGUGUGUAUUUGUGUGUGUGUGUGUGUGUGUGUGUGUGUGUGGUGUGUGUGUGUGUGUGUGUGUGUGUGUGUGUGUGUGUGUGUGUGUGUGUGUAAUCACCUCUGUCUGCCCCCCCCCCCCCCCCACCCCCCCCCCCUCUCCCGCUGGGUCGGUCUCCUGUGCCUGCUGUGCUGAUAAUCAGUGUGUGACGUCGGCUGGCUCAGUUCAGCAGGAACAGGGGUCUGGUCUCACUUCCACACACACACACACACACACACAUGCAUACACACACUUUAAUACCAUUAUAAUGACUGCAGCCUGUUAUUUCAUGUCGAAGUCUGGAUGUGUAUGUGCAUGUUUAAAUGUAUUUAUCGGGGAAUAAUAAAAUUCCUGCCCACAUGUUUUUGAAUCCGAUCUCAUCGUGUCAUGAAACACUUUAUUUUUGUUUCUGUGUGCAGCUCGAUUUCAUUUACAGGCUGUUAAAACACACAAAUUUGUUAAAGCAUGUCCAACAUUUUAAUAAGGAAAUCAAUGUGAAGAUGUAAUAAACAUUCAAAUCUGUUGUCAUAUUGUUUUAGCAUUUCCUGUUAUAAUUUUAAUUUCUCAGAUGAUUCAAAAACAAAUGUUCUUUUUUGUUCAUUGUCUACAUGUUUGUAAUAAAAUAAUUAAAGAAACCUU